UGUCCCAGCUGUCUUGCCACACUUGAUCUCCUUUGUCCACAAGACCACAAGAAGUACUUGUGGUUUAUGUACUUCAUAACUACAGUUUGGGUGCUUCUGCCUUUCUUUGGCUUCUUUUUCUCCCUUGGUGAUUCUGAAAUAUCAGCUGCAUGUCUCAUUUUAUUCUCAACAUCAACUCCGCCGUCGACGGAGGCUUCAACUUGUAUAAUCCUUUUUUCCCUUCGCAGACCUGAGUAUGCGGUCAACACUGGUCGAUACAAGUCGCCGUUGCUUGCUUUUUGCCCCCGACUUCAAGCACGUUUGGAGAUGGCGCGGCUUCGCACCCUCUCUUUCAAUCCAAAACAAUUUGCUCCUUGGCCAACACUCCGAAGUGCACAUUUGUCCUCGCCAAUCGUCGCCAAACCGUUUGAGGGGGUAUUUCAGUAA